rnacentral:rRNA from 1 species
GUGCAGCAGGCGAGAAACUCCGCAAUGCGCGAAAGCGUGACGGGGAACCCAAGUGCCGUUGGUCUAUUGAUCGACGGCUUCUCGGGAGUUUAGGGAGCUCCCGGAAUAAGGGCUGGGUAAGUCGGGUGCCAGCCGCCGCGGUAAUACCCGCAGCCCAAAUGGUGGUCGCGAUUAUUGGGCCUAAAGCGCUCGUAGCCGGGUCGGCAAGUCCCUUGUGAAAUCGGGCGGCUUAACCGUUCGGCUUGCAAGGAAUACUGUUGGCCUUGAGGCCGGGAGACGCCGAGGGUACUCCGGGGGUAGCGGUGAAAUGUUCUAAUCCUCGGGGGACCACCAGUGGCGAAGGCGCUCGGCGAGAACGGACCUGACGGUGAGGGGCGAAGGCUAGGGGAGCGAACGGGGAUUAGAUA